rnacentral:lncRNA from 1 species
CCACAACUAAAUCAAAGGAUGGAAAAUUGAAUUCGAAGUUAAGAGAUUCAAAAACAAGUGAACUCCCCUUUACUAAGUUACAAGAUGUCAAAAGCAGCUUUCGAAGUUGUGAAUGAAACCCUAAAAGAUGCUAUUUAUACUAAAGCCAAAUUAAGGAAAUAAAAUAACAAAACUUAAUAAAAUUCUCGAAAUAGGUGAUGCCCAAGUUGACGCCGCAUCAAGAGUCCAACGCCCUAUCACGGAUGGCGUCAGAAUGCUUUAGUUUCGUUCAAAAUCUAUCUUAGGCUGACAAUAUAGCUGACUCCGCAUCACCGAUCUAACAGUGUAUCACCAACAUCUUUAGAACUUUUUGGAACUCAAUUCUUUAGUUUAAGCUGACGCCCUUCGUGACGCCUUAUCACCAACUUGACGCCUUAUCACCAACAUCGUUAGAACUUCUUCUCAGGCUUUAAGUUUUUGGUUUAGGUUGAUGCCAAUGCUGAUAAGCUAUCACAAGGCUGACGACGUAUCACAAAAGUCGUCAGCCAUGAUUUCUUCUCUUUUGCUCAGAUUUUUAACUCUUUUGCUCCAUUGUCAUUUGUUUUUAUUCCUUGAGCCUUUUACUGCAAUAUCAUGAGCAAACACAUCAAAACAACAAGAGUUGCUUCAGAAUUCACAAUUAUUUUGAGCUAAAAAGCAUUAAAUGUGUUAGCCUUUGCUCACACGUCAACACCCUCAACUUAAAAUAAUUUCUUGUCCUCAAGCAACUACAUAACACCAUAAUACGAUGCUUAACCAAGAGACAUAUAAGAUACCUAUCAUAGUUGAUUAUCAAGUUUAGCUUAAAACUCAUGCCACUCUCCAUGUUCAAUUACUUAAAAAUCCAAUUAUGCAUAUCAAUGAAGAUUAACAAUGUGACCCAAAGGAAUCAAGAUAUGGCAUCAAUUCAGCAACAAUAACCAUUCAUAUGUAUAAGUUACACUACCCAAACAAGUAAACAGCUAGCACUGCAACCGAUGUGCCCUUACAACAAAGAAGUCCCUCCUCACUCAUAUAUGAACUCAAGCAUGUCAAUGCGGGGACGGUCAAGAGACACUCACUCUCAGAAAGAAAUUCCAAUCAAUGCAUGUCAAAUACCAUAUGUUUGCCCUUAUUUUCAUUACCAAGGUGUCCAAACAGGUAAGUUAGGAUCACUAUAGGUCUUUUAUUCAACUUGUAAUGUAGGCUAAGGGCUGGUAUGAUAUUCAAUGGCAUUUAGAGUGACUAAGUAUCCUUGGCACUACCUUAACUUUUGGGGUUCACUUAUUAACCUUUUUCUUAUUUUUCUCCAUUUCUUGAUCACACAUUAUUUAGGAUGGAUGUGACUUUUCUUUUUCAUUCUUUUCUUUUCUUAUUCUUCUUUCACACCACUCAGCUUUUUAUUCAUUUUCACUUAUUAUUUUCCUUUUAUUCUACCUUUCUUCAUACCCAUUUUACAUCAUGUACCCCUAUGAUAGCCACCCUUAACUUAGGUUGUUUGCCUAAGUCAAAGUGCACAGUGUCCAAGAAAGACCAGGGCCAAAACAAGUUCAUUAUGAUCUAAACGGGAAGGUGAUAGGUGUCAUAGAAAGAAAUGGUUAAUUCAAUCUCAAAACAAGGAUCAAGCGAUAGCAUGCACACAAGGAAGGUCAUUUUGGCCUAAAAGUGACUCAAAUUCAAAAAUAGCCUAUGAUCCUUUCCUAACCCCUCUCUUUCAACCAAAGUAAGAUGAACCGGACAAGUUUUGGAUUCAACACAUAAUGGGAACUAAGUAGUAUCUCCCACACACAUGGCACAAAGGUACAUCACAAGCUACUACCCAUUCAGUUCAUGAAAUUGUUAGCAGUGACUAUCGAGUCCUUAUUACUAAUGCCAUAAAAAGAUUCAUAGUAGUCACAUAUAGAUGCACAUCACACAGUUAAAAAAAUAGACCAAUGGAGAGGUGUUUAUCAGUCUUAAAAAUCAAUAAAAAUAUGUCAACUGCUCUAGAUACUUAUUUUUCUCUAGUUAAGCACAACACAUCACAAAAAAAACACAAUACGCCUAAACAUACCAGCUCUACUAGGAACAAGGCUCCGGGGAAAAAAGGCACGACAACAAAAACCCCAGGAGGAUAUCACAGCCACAAGUAGCCCCACCCCCAAAUUAAUAACAUGCAGUAUUCCCAACGCGUCAAUCCAAAACAAGAGAGUUAGAAAUAUACUUGUGGCACCGUGGGUGUGAAGAUCUGAUGUCAAUCACACAAUACAAAUACAAAUACAAACAUCAAAAUACAUUGGGUUACCUCCCAAGAAGCGCCUAAUUUAGUGUUGCGGCAUGACCCAACUCAACUUUUUCCUCCAUUUUAAGGAUAUGAACUUUACCCCCAACUUAGAGUCCAUCUUCUUGCCUCGUUCAUAGGGAGGUGGUACAAAGAUUAAGAAUCCGAGUAAUGGAUGAUGCAUGGUAAACAACUCAGCUUUAAAGUGAGGUAUGUUUUUGUGUUGCUUAUCAAGUGUAAAAUAAAGAUUAUAAGAUUCUUAUUCCUCAUCUUCACAGUCUUCCACUAUUUUAGAUGAUUCCACAGACAAGAUAUCAUCUAAACAUAAUGUGGAAAAAUGCUUCGAGUGUGGCCCAACAUAUCCUACUUCAAAAUUUACACUAUCCUCUACACACUCACUUUUAUUCAUGUUCUCAACAUUUUUACUUUGAAUUGGGCUAGAGUCUUCAUAAGAGAUUGGCUUGGCUUCUUCUUUUGCCUCUAGCACCAUUCCCUCAAUCUUGGCAUCAUCCCUCAUGGUUGGCUCGGUUGGUUGGGAAAUCUCCAAGGGCUGAUCAACAUUAAGCUCAUCAUCAGUAUAGGAAUCUUGCUCUUCAUCAUCACACUCUUCCAUUAUUUUAAAUGAUUCCACGGAUAAGGUAUCAUCUAAACAUAAUGUAGAAAAGUGUUUUGGAUGAUUGACCUCGAUAUCCAUCUCAUCUAUCCUUUCUCUUCCCUCAUUAAAUUCCCUAAUUUCUUGACGUAUGUCACAUAUGGUAUCAUUCGUUGUAUCUAUACGAUCCAAUAUUAGUUGAAGCAUAGCUUCAAUGUCACUCUUUCCAGUGCUGCGUUCUUCCUUUUCUUAACCAUAAGACCUGUCAUACACAUAAAAAGAACUAGAACUUGGGUUAGCGCAAUAGGGGGAGGUGGAAUUUGGGAAACCACUCCAAUGUCCAUCUUGACCAUCACAUAAAGAAUAAUUAUACUCCCGGUAGGAUGGAGAUGGUGCACACAUCUCUCUCCGGGGAGCAUAUCUACAAUCUUGCCAAAAGUGGGGUCCAUCACAAUAAGGACAUGGAUCAUCCAGAUAAGAUAAAAAAAAAAAAAUCUACCUAACACAAGAAACAAAGAAAAUCACAAACAAAUAUUUACAAGUUCGAAUUAAAGCAAGUAAGCUAAGAUUACAAACUAACUCAAUACGCCAAAUUGUUCCCCGGCAACGGCGCCAUUUUUUGAUAAUGCUCAACUUACACCUCAAAUAAGUGCAAGGUGGUUUUCGCCAAUAUAUUUACCUAACUUCGGAGUCGGGGUCGAAUCCAUAGGGAACAAUGUGAGUGGCGAUUAAACUAGUUCGAAAUUAUAGCUACAAGUUAAAUUCAAAUAAAUAAUAAGAAAUGACAACAUAGGGGUUUUUAUCAAUCAAACAAAUUUUAACGUCUCAACUUAUUUUAGAACUCAAAACUUAGAUUUCAAUAUUUCAAAUCAAUGAUAUAGAGAAACUAGUUUUGUGAUCACUAUAUUAACCUCUAUUGAAUAAUAACUAUUCAUGAUUCUCGUGAUAGGUGGGAACAACAGAUUAUCCCUGCCGAUGAUACUAUCUAACUUAUCUCUUGACCUCACCAGAUAAUUUAUUAUCUAAUUCUCUCGAACUUAGAUAACAUAUCUAUUUCCAACCGGAUAUUAUCUUAGGUAGAUUGAUCCAGUUAUGGCAUCAAUCAUUAAACAGAAGGUUGGUAGCUUUCGAGUCCCUGUUGAUAAUUCACGACCUCUAGUCUAUUUCUUUGUUAGAAGCAAAUAAAACCUAAGGCAUAACCUAAUGUUUGCAACCAAUAGAUUCAAGUUAAAACAACAGAAUUUCAAGACGUUCCCACAGUCACUCAAACCCUAAUCCAACUAUUAAAUCAAUGAAAUAAUAAUUGUAAAUCCAACAACCCUAGUUGUGGGUUUUAGUUGCUCAUAAGAUUGGAAGAGAUAACAAAAAUUAAAUUUAUAACUUAAAGCAAGUGACCUUACUAUAACACCCCGCAUUUUGGACGAGAACGAAAAUCGUCAUUUCCUUCACGUAAAGGUUCCAAAAGUCAUAAAUCCAAUGCAAGUUUGGUGUGUUAAUAAAUUAUGUAGUGUGUAAACCUAUUUGAGCAUAAAUUGAGAUCAUAGAGGUCCCCAAGAUCAAGGACAAGUUGAAAGUUUUCCUAUCAUUCAAAUUUUAAUGAGCGUUCAAACUUAGGUCAACUUCAAUAGACCAUUACUCUUUGUAUAUAUUAAAUUAAAGUGCCUACUAUAUAUCAAAUGAAAUUUAUUUGAAUUAUCUUUCCAACGAUACCAAUUUCGCAAAAAUCCGACAUCCGAGGAAGAAGUUAUGGCUUUGCAAAGUGGAGUGUGUCAUGCAGCAUAAGGUGUAGGACGCACACCCUAACUUAUGCCAUAAGGUGUGUGACACACAACCUAAUGUGUGCGAUAAAGAGUGCGCCGCACAACCUAUAUUAUGUGAUAAGGUGUACGCCGCAUAUAUUAUUACUCAAGUGACUUAAACACUCCAUUUUGGGGGCAAAAUGGUUCUUUUCCCACCCUUAUUUAGCCAUAAACAUGAAAUUCAAUCCCAAAAUACCCCAAAAUACACCUUCAUUCAAAAAUUGCUCAAGAACUCUCCUUAGGGUUUCAAAAUAAAAACCCAAGAAACUCAAGAUUCAACCGUGGAUUUUUAAAACUAAUUGGAUAUUUAGAAUCCCCAGAACGUAGGCUUCAAGAAGCACCUAUCAUCUUCGCAUAUAGAGGUACGUGGGGUUAUCUCAAAAAUCUCAUGGUCUUAAAAAUUCAUGUUUUCAAAAUGGAGAUUUUGAAAUUACGAAUAUGAUUAUGUUUUAAACUUUUUAUAAUAUUGAUUUGGUCUUUAGGCCUAUUCCUGAAGUGAUUUGAUAUAUGAUAUAUGUAUAUGCAUGUAUUCCGAAAAAAUGUUAACUUGAGAGCAUAAAUUAUAUGAAAAUCCCUCUCUUGAUAUGAUUUUGUAUUAAAUCCUCAUAUGAUGUGAAUUGUUUGAAAUCAUCUUGACAAUCAUAACAUGAAAUAUUUUGAAAAUGGUUAUGAUUUUUGACUUGAAAUGAGAGGGUUGUUAUGUUGAAAUAUGAAUGGUUGCAUGAAAGAAUGAUGUGAUAUUGAUGGCUUGCAAGUCGGGUAUGACAAUACCCUACAGAAUAAGAUAUAUGAUUGAAUUGAAUAGAGUUUGAUUCAUUGAUUUUACAUGAGAUAGGUGGAUGCCUGAAAAAGGCAUUUGAGUAUAAGGGCUCAUCGCUGGAAACCGUGUUUGCCGACAUGGGGAUUUGGUACCAGGCUAAGUGAUCUUAUGUACUUGGCUUUAUGUCAUUCCCAAAUUGGGACUAUGGUUAGGAGCCCAAGCUAAGUGAUCUUGGGUACUACUAUACUUUAUUGGGUCGAGACACCCUGCUGUGUGAUCUCAUGUGUCUUCCCCUCAGUUAUACUCUAAUCUCGGCGGCAAUCGAGAUUUGACAGUUAGUGUAAAUGUUAUAUGUAGGGUAUUCCACCUAGCUCAGCUGCAUUACAUUAUUGUUAAAAACUAUUAUAUUAUGCCUAUGUGUUUUCAAAUGAUUUGAUAUGAAACCGCUUUAUAAUGGCUCUCACCUAUAUUUGGAAAAAAAAUAUUAUAUUUUGUUUUUGAUUUCUCUGCGUACCAGUACUUUUGUAAUGAUCCCCUUCCCUUCCAGGUUUGGAGGCACAAUUUAGGGGUUCAGAUAACUAGUAGAUCUCUUUCGACAGAUUUGCAGAAUCAAGUGGUGAGCCUUCUAUAUUUUGGAAGGCCUAAUGUUUGUCAGUUCAUUUAUCAUUUAGUAGUUUUGGGUCUACUGGAGGCCUUGUUGCAGUUUUCAGACAGUAAUUUGUUUCAGUCAUGUAUUAGAGAUUUCGCAGACGGUUGGUCAGAUGUCGAUAGAUGUUAUGGGACAUUAUUUCCUCUUUGUUGAUUUCAUUUGAUUUAUGACGAUGUUUUCCAUAAUAUUGUGUAUCUUCCGCAUAUCUUAUUAUCAUAUGAAUUAUGUGCAUGAUUACUAGAUAGAUAGAGGUGUUUCGGGCCUUCAUGGUUCGGAAUGCUCGUCACGGCCAGGGCCCCGGUUCGGGUCGUGACACUUACAAAAGAUGAAAUUCAAAGUUGUUUCUCCUUCAAGUACAAUAAGAAUUUCCCACAACUAAAUCAAAGGAUGGAAAAUUGAAUUCUAAGUUAAGAGAGUUAAAAACAAGUGAACUCCCCUUUACUAAGUUACAAGAUGUCAAAAGCUGCUUUCGAAGUUGUGAAUGAAACCCUAAAAGAUGCUAUUUAUACUAAAGCCUAAUUAAGGAAAUAAAAUAACAAAAUCGACGCCCAAGCUGACGCCGCAUCAAGAGUCUGACACCCUAUCACGGAUGGCAUCAGAAUGCUUCAGUUGCCUUCAAAAUUUGUCUUAGGCUGACGAUAUAGCUGACGCCGCAUCACCAAUCUGACAGCGUAUCACCAACGUCAUCAGAACAUCUUCAAACUCAAUUCUUUGGUUUAAGCUGACGCACUUCAUGACGCCUUAUCACCAACUUGAUGCCUUAUCACCAACGUCGUCAGGACUUCUUCUUAGGCUUCAAGUUUUUGGUUAAGGUUGAUGCCAAUGCUAAUAAACUAUCACAAGGCUGACGACGUAUCGCGGAGGUUGUCAGCCAUGAUUUCUUCUCUUUUGCUCAGAUUUUCAACUCUUUUGCUCCAUUGUCGUUUAUUUUUAUUACUUCAACCUUUUACUGUAAUAUUAUGAGCAAACACAUCAAAACAACAAGAGUUACUCUAGAAUUCACAAUUAUUCUGAGCUAAAAAGCAUUAAAUGUGUUAGCUUUUGCUCACACAUCACCUACAAUCUAUAAAUCUUGUUACAACAUUAGCCUAUCACUAUAAAAUAGCAACCCGUCCCUCAAUCAAAGGUUGUACAAAUAAAACUAGCUACUUUAUGCAAAAAAUCACCCUCACUCUAACUUCUAGACUUGUUACUUCAUAUCACUAACUUCUAUAUCAUCUUACUGCCAGUGGGUCAUGACACAUUAAUAGAUACUACUACUCGGGUAGAAAUACUCUUCCUACAUUCUUUCACAUAGCUCUGUCCUUAAGCAUGACAUCUGCAAUAAGAAUUCUGAAAGGAAUUGAAUACACUUCGUACCUCAGGCUGAAAAGAAUGAUUGCAUUAAGACAGAGGUAUACACUCGAAUCAACAUAUUUUGAAACACUAACGGACUCAAUCAGAAAGGACCACAUCAUUGGGAAUCUAAAAUCUUAAACUAGUAUUGGCUCGACAAUGAGGUAUGGCCCAUAAGAUUAGACCAAGAAAGGAAUUUGGAUAAUUUAUAUGUACGAUGCUAUAUCAUAAACUAGAGUAAGAAAGAAUGAGAAACAACUCCUAAAUGCCCAGUAGCAUCCUGAUUAUAAGCGUGGUGCACAACACACCCAUAAGAAAGACUCUACUAGACACGGCUUCAUAGACGUCCUCGGACCAUGAACCUAGCUUUGAUACCAAGCUUGUGACGACCCGAACUGAGGCCUUGACCACGACGAGCAUCCCGAACCAUGAAGGCCUGAGAGACCCCUUAGCAUGUAAUCAUAAGCAGAACUUAUAUGAUAAAAAUAUGUGAAAGAUAAACUAAAAAUUCAAGGAAAAUUUAUAAUACAAACUGUGUCAAUAAAAUAUGAAAAUACAAUACUCAACUUCCAUCUACGAAGCCUUUUACUGCCCACUAGCUGCCGACGGAAUCCCAGCGCCGCCAUCCAUCACUGCUCCAGCUUCCUCCAUUAAGCCGCCGCUAGCCGUCGCUGCUCCAGCUGGCAGCCAUCUCCACCAAUGUCGGUAGCCAUCUCCACCAACGCCGGCAGCACCACCAGCCGGUAAAACUACCAUUCACCAGCCAGCCGACAGCCUCCAUUUAGAGGUAAACUCCGUUAACUUCGUUAAGAUUAACAUACAAACUGUCGAGAUAUCGAGCUAGUGCUAGUGCGGGGAGGGGGGCAAUGUAGUUGUUCUACUAUGUUGUGUUUGGUGCUAUGGUUGUUGUGGUAGCAGUUUUUGAGCUGGGUGGCAAGACUAACAAAGAUCGGACAACAACUUCACAGGCUUUUAAUUCCUUUAAGAACAAUUACAUUCUUGUUUACUCUCUUAUGAUGGGUACGUAUGUUUCUCCUAUUAGAUCUGGGUCUUUUUACAUUUUGAAAUUCUGGUAUGUAUGUGCUCGAUAUGAUUAUUUGAGUGUGGAAUUUUGGAUCUGAUUAAUUGGACAUUAUAAGUUUGUUCUGCAUUAGUUGUCAGGUUGUGGUAUAAAUGAAAUCUAGCUUCGAAUCCUAACUCAUUUUAUGUUAUCUGGAUGUUGAAAAAGCUUCCAAGUGUUGAUAUGCAGCUCAAUUUGCUUAAUGGUCUUUAGAUCUAUUUGUACAUCACUGUGUGAAAAUACACUGGGUUUGUUGUUGUUGUUUUUGUUGUUGUAUUUCAUUAAGAGUUCUCCAAUACUAUCUGUAUUCCUUGUGCUGUAUCUUUCUAAAUUAUGGCAUCAAGACCAAAAUUUAGUUUCUUUACUUUUCUAAAAGAAAAGGUUGAUCUUGCUUAAAGGUUUUAGAAUAUCUAUACCUUGAGUAUACAUAAACUUGUACAAUGUGCUCAAAGUUCAGUCAUAUUGUAGACAUGUAGUAACUUGAAAAUGGAGUUGUGUAUCUUUUAAUUUGCUAAGCUCAUUAUUUUCGAAGAUGAUGUUGUUGGUUAUUUUUGUUUAGAAGGUGAUAUUGUUGGUUACUUUAUUUGUUGAAAAUGCUUAAGUGCCGAUGACUUUAAUAGUGAAUUAGUGUUUAGAAGGUGAUGUUGUUGGUGACUUUAUUUGUUGAAAAUGCUUAAGUGCCGAUGACUUUAAUAGUGAACUUUUGUUUAGAAGGUGAUGUUGUUGGUUACUUUAUUUGUUGAAAAUGGUUAAGUGCCGGUGACUUUAAAAGUGAACUUUUGUUUAGAAGGUGAUGUUGUUGGUUACUUUAUUUGUUGAAAAUGCUUAAGUGCUGGUGACUUUAAUAGUGAAUUAGUGUUUAGAAGGCGAUGUUGUUGGUGACUUUAUUUGUUAAAAAUGCUUAAGUUUUGGUGACUUUAAUAGUGAAUUAGUGUUUAGGAGGUGAUGUUGUUGGUGACUUUAUUUGUUGAAAAUGCUUUAGUGCCGGUGACUUUAUUUGUUGGUGACUGCUGUAUAUUAUUGUUGUGGUUGCAUGCAGUAUUUGGAUUUUCAAUUUUUCUUUUUAAAUUUCCAGAAAUAUAUUUUAUUUUAUUUGCAAAAAACCGACCACAAGUGGUCAGUUUUUCUAAUUUUUUUUUUUGUAAAAAACCGAUCACAAGUGGUCGGUUUUUUCUAUAUUUUUUUUGCAAAAAACCGACCACUCUUAUAAAAUUAAUUUAUUAGUUUAACUGAAAACCUACCACAUGUGGUCAUUUUUUAUUAAAUUAAUAAAAUUAAUUUUAUAAAAAAUCGACCACACGUGGUCGGUUUAUUUUUUCUAAAAUUAUUUUUUCAUUUAAAUAAAAUAAUAAUAAAUUUAAAAAUAAUUAAAUAUAUAUAUAUAUUUAAAAAAACCGACCACUCGUGGUGGAUUUUUAAAAAGCUACCGCUACUUUUCCGACUAAAAAUUUUGGUCGAUUUUGUGGUCGGAAAAUGGGGAAAACCGACCACUUGUAGUCGAUUUUUGUGGUCGAUUUUCCUUUUUUUUUUAGUAGUAAGUUCAUAUAUGUACACUAGAACCAAGCAUAGCUUAAGCUAACAACAUUCUAAAAUUCUCUGUGAUCAUAUUCAUAUCUUGUUUCACUUGCACCAUAGACACCCUAAAUAUGUACUUUAACACAAAGGUGCUCACUAUUAACAACUCAUUAAGAACACAAAGAAGUCCUCAAAACUAGGAUAAAAGUGCAUAGAUAAUGACUUAGGAGUAUAAAUACAUCUAUGAUCAGCAAGGAAUAAGAGGAAAAUGCCAAUCCGGCAAAGGCGUGGUCUUACUCACGAUUUACAGAAAAAAGAUAACGGUCGUCAGUUAUGUAUAAGCUAACGCGUGAAUGAAGCUACGACUUGAAAGGCGCAAGCCUUACCACGCAUUAGUGCAUAACCAAUUAGGAUAAAUUUGACAGGAUACAGAAACUUGAAUGUCACAGCAAAAAUGCUUUACCUUAAAAUAAAUACUCCAUGGUUAUCCACUUCCAUUUUCUUUUUAAGUUAGAAACAAAAAGGAGAAGAGGAGCAUUUUAACAAUCACGUAUUUUACAAAUAAUUGUAGCAAUUAAUUUGAAUAUCAGAUACACUCACCGUAGCUUUACUUUUAAUUACCUCUCUCCUUAUUAAUUCCACAACUUCCGAAUAGUUGUUUGUGGAAAUGUCAAGGGACCUCACUGAUUUUCAAUGAUAUGCAUGAAGUUUGACAGCAUUUUCUUGAAUUUCUUCCCGAGCAUAGGAAUGAGAUGAAAUACUCUAAACUGAAAGAAGAUUUUAUCAAAAAUAAUGAGAAUGAUAAAUGAACAAAGUUGUGUAGGAAAAGCAGUAUGUGGUACUUUGUUUAUUUAUCAUUAUUUUUUAUGACAUCUUCUUUCAGUUUAGAAUAUUUGACCUCGUUCCUAAGCACUCGGAGAAAAGUUCUUUAAGAAAAUGUUGUCAAACUUCAUGCAUAUUAUCCAAAAGCAGUGAGGUCCCUUGGCAUUUCCACAAAACAACUAUUCGUAAGUUGUGGAAUUAAAAUGGAGAGGGCAAUUAAAAGUAAAGCUAUGGUGGGUGUAUCUGAUAUUCAAAUUAAUUGCUACAAUUAUUUGUAAAAUACAAGAUUUUUUUUAAUUCUACACUUCUCCUUUUUGUUUCCAACUUAAAACGAAAUGGAAGCUGAUAUACAUGGAGUAUUUAUUUUCUGGUAGAGCAUCUUUGUUGUGACUUUCAAGUUCUGUAUUCUGUCAAACCUAUCCUCUUUUGUUAGCACUAAGGCAUGGGACUGCUUGUGCCUUGCAAGGCAUGGCUUCCUUCACGCUUUAGCUUUAUACAUAACUUUCAUUUGCUAGGCGUGAGGAAGGCCACGCCUUUGAGUGUUUGAAAUUUUCCCAUUCUUCCUUAACCUUUUUGAACUUUAAAUGAAAAAAAUUGUUCGUCCGGCUACCGAUUUCUCUAAAAGGCAGUAAGAUAAGGUCUAGCACUCCUUACUUGUACUUUUUCACAUUGAGGAUUUUAUUAUUAAUAAAAGACCGCUUGACAUUCAGUAUAGUGGUAUUUAAUUAAAAAAAAUUCUAAAAAAGGCAUCCGCUUAAUUUCUCAUAUUUGUUCCUUUAAUUUUAUACACAUAAUAACAAAGCACCAAGGCAAAAAAAAAAAAAAAAAAAAAAGGAAAAAAAAAAAAAAAAAAAAAAAAAAGAGGAAAUACAAACAUCAAAAGAAUUCAAUCAAUAUGGUAAAAGAAUUUUUAUGUAUCAAAUCAAUCAAAAACUUCAUAGAUUAUAGUAUUUUAUAUUUAUGAUGAAAUAUGUAUCUAUGGUUGUAUCAUGUGUUUGUGCGCGCGCCCAAAACUAGGAAUUAAGGUCUUGGUUAGGAUAGAGCAAAUUCUAGAUUGAGAAAGAAACUUCUUGUUUUUAGUCCCUGAAAUAUUGAUAAGUUUUUGUUUUGGUUCGUGUAAUAUCUAUCUAUUUAUAUCUAUAUCUAUAUCUAUAUCUAUAUAUUAUAAAUAGUAAGAAAGUCUUGCAUAGAUAGAUGUCAAGUGGCUAAAUAGGAUAAUGCCAUGUGGUACCUUUUAGGACAAAUUAGUUAGACUAGGUAAAAUUAAUUAUUUUUUUUUUAAUGUAAAUUAAAAGUAAUAAAUAUUUUCUAUUUCAAAUAAAAAAAAUUGGGAAGUUACAACAUAAGAAAAAACAUGCACAUAUUAUUUAAUAUAUUUAUAAAGAACAUUUUAAAUUAUUAGAAGUUAACAGAUUUUUAUAUCUACUAUUAAACAUUAAAAUAUUUUUUAUUGAAUUAACAUAUUUGAAUUUAAUUUAUAUCUUAACGUAUUUAAGAGACUUAUAUCUUCAUAUUUAAUUUAUAUCUUAAAUUUUUGUAAUCCUAUAAUUUUUCACUUUGAACUGCGUUAAGAAAAGGUAAAAAGGAAGGGGUAGUGUGUUUUUUCUUUUUCUGUUUGCAAUAUUAAUAAAUCAAAUAUAUUUUAUUUUAAAAAAUAAAGAAAAUACAAAAAAAAAAGAUAAAACCUAACAAAACCCCCUAAUGCACGCCACAAUUCCCGUCCCCAUUUUUCGGGCACGUAUCCCACGCAACCACUUAAUAUUUUUUAUUUUUAAUUUUUAAAAGUAAAAAGAUAAAACAAUUAAUAGAUCAAAAUUAAAUUUAACUAAUCUAAAUAUUAUUAUCAAACAAAAUAUAAAUAUCCCACAUUCAUAAUUUUCAAUGAACAAGAAGUGGCUACAAAUUAGUAUUUGAAAUUUGAAAUGAGUAGUUGUUAUGUGUAAAAUAACUAUUUAAAUUUAUUCAUUUACUAAUGAUUUAAAAAAAUAUAUAAAAAAAAAAUAUUAAAAAAAAUAAAAAAUUGAUAACUCUUAACUUAAACACUAACAGUCCAUACAUCCUAAUCCCCACAACCUCAAUUCACUAGCACUUAUUUUUGUUCUCCAAUUUUCCUGCACACUAAAAAUACUAUACAUAAUUCAAAUAAAUGUAUUAUCAUGUUGAUAUUUGAUAAAAGUAAAGUAUGUGCAUUAUCUUUUGCAUUCUUAUUUUAAUUUGAAGUUGAAAAGAAGCACUUUAACAAUUAAAUGAACGAAAAAAUGAUCGAUGUAACUGAUGAUAUACCACAACACCCUAUUAAUUCUAUAUCAAUAUGGUAUAGUCAUUUAAAUUUCAAAUUGGUGUCCUAUUAUUUUGUAUUGUCUCUUCAAAGGAUAAUUUAUUUAUACUUUUAGAAAAAUGAAUUUCCAUCACAAAUACAGAUUUAAAAAAUUUAAAACUAAAUUUUAAUAAGCGAGACUCUUUUUUUUUUUUUUUACCUUUGUUUUGGAUAACUAUUUCUACUUUUUUUAUUUUUAUAAAUUCUUAAAAAAAAAAAAAAAUAAAAUAACUAUCAUUGUGAUUUUAAAUUUUAAAUCAAUUAAAUUUUAAAUUCAAAUUCAAAACUAGAAAUGUAAUGUUUAUGAAAGCAAUUCAAAUUAUAUAUCACUUUCUAUAACAUAAAUUCAUUUUGAAAUUAAAAUGUUUAGAUAAAUUUAUUUGUCCGUUUGAAAUUGAACUAAGAGAUAAACAUUUUUUUAAAAACAAAAUUAAUUAAAUAAAAUAAAUUGAUAUUUGAUUUAUAAAAACAUUGAAAUAAGAACUUCUAAAAAAUUGAAAUGCCUACAUUUGAAAUUCAAGUGUUUUUUUUUUUUAAAAAAAAAAAGGUAACUAAACUGCCCCAUUACUCCACUAACUCCACUUCAAGCACCCCUCCCACCUCCCCACGUCUCUUUAUUUGUCAAUUUACUUUCACACACUUGCAUUGAAAAAUUUCAAUAUAAACUUAUAACAUAAAUUUCGCCGAAAAUUUUCAACACAAAUUAUUUUGAAACAUAAAAUUCAAAAGAAAAAAUUGUCAUUUCAAAUUUCGAAUUUUAAAAUCUAAAAUUUGUACAUAAAUGCAGUCAUAAUUAAAUCGUUUAAUUUAUCAUAUUUUUCUUCUUGAACAUCAAUCAAUAAUUCAUUUUCUAAAAAGGAAUCUCUUUGCAAACUUCAUUUGACAAAGUACUCUUAUGAAGAAUUAUUUGACAAAUAAAUCUCUAUUCUUCAUUUGAUAUAAUUAUUUGAGUUUUUGGGAAGAAUCAGUGGCAAAGUACUCUUAGGAAGGAAUAUUGAUAUAUUAUUCCUUUUUACAUUUUUUUUUCAUAAUCAUCUCGAUCUUUUUUACUGUCUCUAUUAUUUGUACUCAUAUCUAUAUUUACUUUUCUCAUUUAGUGCCUUCAGUUCAUUGCGGGAGUCAAUAUUCAUAAAAUACAACUACUAUCUUAUUUGGAAUAAUAUGAGAACUCUAAUUCUUAUUGACUUAUUAUUUUGAUUAGGUAAAAUGACCUUCUGGACCCUUGUACUAUAUCGGUUUAGUAAGUUGGACACUUCUACUUACAUGUUUGUCAUCUAGACCCCUAAACCCACUAAAAAACUAUUUUUAAAUUCUUUGAACGUUGACUUUGUCUACGUGGCAUUAAAUGGCUGACUAGGAUAAGGAAAGUGUAGUCACUCGCCUGGGGUAUGAGUGGGGGUCAAUUUUGACCUAUUUUAUAUUAAAAUAAUUUUAAAAAAAUUAAAAAUAAUAUUAAAACUAAAAAAAUAAUUAAAAAGAUCUUUUUUUCCUCCAUAUUUUUUAACUUAAAAAUAUUUUUAAAAAUAAUAAAUUUAAAAAAAAAAAAAAAAAAAAACCCUCCCCCAACACCCCCCCCCUCCCACNNNNNNNNNNNNNNNNNNNNNNNNNNNNNNNNNNNNNNNNNNNNNNNNNNNNNNNNNNNNNNNUCUUCCCUAAGCCCUUCGCCUCCAUCCCAACCCCCAACCCUUCUCCCCCGCCGCCCCACCAGUUCCCAAGCAAAGAAACCUCCAUUCACAAAGACACCGAUUCACAAAAUUUAUUCAAAUCAAGAAUUUUCUACAUUCUUGAAUUAUCCAAAUCACAAAAAUUUCAAAAAAAAAAAAGCGCAAAAAUUGUAUUUUUAUAUUGAAUUUCAAGUUUCUCGAAUUACCCAAAUACAAAAAAUUCAAAGAAAGCAUUAAAAUUGAGUCUUGACAUUGAAUUUCAGGUUUCUUAAAUUACCCAAAUCACAAAAAUCUCUAAAAAUUUCUUCUUUUCAUACUUCUUAAAUUUUUUGGCCCUCACUUUUCAAUUUUUCCGUAGAGCAAGAAGAAUAGGAAGAUGAAGAUGACAAAAGCAAAAGAAGAAUGAGAAGACAAGGAAGAAGAUUAAGAAAAAGAAAGAAGAAGAAGAAAUAGAGAGAAAGAACCAGAAAAGGAAAGAAAAAGGGGAAAAGAGAUAAAAAGGGGUAGGGGUUGUUUUAUUUGUUUAUUUAUUUAUUUAUUUAUUACAUAUAAAAAUGACGUGGCAGAUAACGUGGCACACGUGACAGUUGAUAUGGCAGCUGGCGUGGGAGAGUGUAUUACACUCACCAAAAAAGUAUUUAAAAUAUUACUUUUUAGUGGGUUCAGGGGUCCAGAUAACAAACAUGUAAGUAGAAGUAUCCAACUUACAAAACCGAUAUAAUACAAGGGUCCAGAAGAUCAUUUUACCUUUUGAUUAUUAUAUAGGACUAUUUGGAUUUGGUGUUGCUUAUAAAUAUAUUUUAGCUUUACUUUAGCCUAUUAAUGUCCUCGAUAUUUUGGAUUUAUUCACUGAUGUAUUUACAGUAGAAAGUGUUAAUGUAUAUUAGUUUCUAUCAUCUAUAAAGAUUAAAAAGAUUUAUUACUUUAUAUCUUAAUAUUAAAACUAUAUAAUUAUUAGGUGAAGUUUUAGAUUGUUAAUUUUAGCAUGAUUUGGGGAUUGAGGGUCUAUUCACAGAGAGAGUCCUGCAUAAACUUUUGUGCAAUAAAAUUUAUAGUUUGAGAUUAAGUGUAAUAAAAUUUAUAGCUUUCUUUAUUUUAUAAUUCGUAAUAUGUUGAAAAACUUAAACCUAAUAUUAGAUAGAGAAAUACUAUUUUACAUAUUUCAUUCAAAUAAUUAAUUAAGAUCCUUUUUGAGUUGUGUUAAAGUUCUCUUUUACAAUUUUUCCUUAUAUUUGUUGGAUGACAUUUUUUUUUCUUAUAGUUUUCUUUGUUCUAUAAUCCAACUUCUUUUUUAGAAUUAAUCAAAGAUCACCCGAUAAUUUUGAACUUUUCAAAGGAGGUUACGGUCAUAAAAAAAUCAGAGAAGAUAAUAAAUAUACUAUUACAAACACAAAAAUAAUUACUGUUAUGGAAGAAAAAUUGAAAAGUAUUCUAUUUUAAAUCAUCUCAAUUAUAAAUGAGAAUAGUAAGGAAAUUAAAGUGAGCUAACAAUACAAGGUGGAAUAACAAUUUUUGAUAAUUUGUUUUUGGUAGAUAAAUUUUAUUAAUAGUCAAAGAGAAAUAUUAUAAUUUUUGGUAAUAUUAAUAACAAUAUUAGAAAAUUAGGUGAGGUUAUUCUUAGAAUUCUAAUUAAAAGGUAAAAAAUAAAAAUUACGUAUGAUUUUAUUAGGAAUCUGAUCUGAAAUAUUAUUUUAAAUUUGAAUUAAAAGAUAACAUUAUGUUUCCACUUCUUAACAGAUUAAAAAAUUAAAUACAUAACUCAACUAAUUAACAAUUAUUUAUUAACAUCAUAAUUUAUUUAAAAUAUGUCAAUAGCAUAUAACGAGGAUAUUUCAUUUUCAUAUCUAAACGUUUAAAGUUAUUGCAACUGCGAUAUGAUCCUAAAGGGUUGUUUGGUAGAAGAAAUAAGAAGAAUAAUUUUGGGAUUAACUUUAUCCCAUAUUUGGUAUAAGAUAUUUCUUAAUUCUAGAAUAAUUUUGUCCCACCAUUUAUACUAAAAUGGUGAUAUUACUAUCCAAUAGGGAGAAGAAAUAAAAUAAUCCCAUGGGAUAUCCCACCUCAUCGGAUAUACUUAGUUACCCCAUCCAUAUACCAAACGAUCCGUAAGUGUUUAUUAAACUUUUAAUAUUAUAUUAAAGUAUAUAUCAUUGAUGAUGUUGAAUUUAAUAAUAUUGAUAGUCAUAUUUCUUACUUCACAAAUUUAUUGAUUUUACAUACAUCAAUUUGAUGAAAAAAAUUAUAUCAAAUAAAUAAAAUUAAAAAAUAUGAUUAAUUUUCUUUAAUAUCGUCCGCGCAUCGCGUGGGAAGGUAUACUAAGGGCAAGCCUAUGGUUCAUUAUGUGUAACUUGUGAAUUAUUUCUAAGAGUGAGCGUAAAUUGAUUCUAAUACCCAUUCUUGUAAUAAUUGCAUCUUUAUGAGUGAGUAUGGGUACCUCUAUUGUGAUGAGGGCACAUGUUAUGAUAGUUGGGUAAUUUGUAUGAUCUCAUUGAUUGUGUAAUAUGCAUGAGUUUGCCAACUUGGUGAGUCAGUUCUUGAGGUUAUGAUGUUUUGAAGUAGCGGUCUUGAGCUUUCAUUUGUGUAUAACAUUCUUAAGAUAAAAACUUGCUAUAUGUGUAGUCAUUAUAGUAUUAUUUUGAAUGUCUUGCCUGUAAUAAAAGUGUGGAGUCUUCUCUAAUUAGUGUGUGUAAUGAAUUACUAAAGGUAUAACUGUGCAAUUAUGUGUGGAAUAACUUGUUUAUAGUUUUUAAGGUUCAAUCAAGCUAAGAGACAAAGUAAUAAGUUAAUAUUUUUGGCUACUGAUUUAAUCUUAAUAACUGAACUAAAACUCUUGGUUACAUUUGCACUAAUUGAAUCUUAAUAGCUGAACUGAAAUUGGAUAGUUGCUUAACACUAGUCCCUUUUAGAUCGAUAUUUGACUUUCUUAAGGCCACUAUAUUACUUGAGUGGACCACGUACACUUGCGUGUGCGUUUGGGCGCAACAGUAUUAAUCAACAUCUAAAUUUAAAUAGCUUUUUUAAAACAACAAGAAAAUUUGAGAUGUGAUUACAAUUGAGAAAUAUCAAUAUGAUAUUCACAAAAAGAGUCAUAGACAUGAUUGAGCAAAUAAAAUUGCAAGGUCAAAUAUAUAGAAAGAAUAUUAUAUCUAUCAUAUGGUGACAAUUAAUUGCGUACAUUAAAAUUUAUUUCAUUUUACAUCACAUCUAUCUAGCUAAAUUUAAUUGUUUAAUUUUGCAAGUCUAUACGGUUCAUGAGAUUUUGCUUUUGACAAUCAAGUCAUUUGUGUAUGCUAACUAUACAUGUAUCAAAUUAAGCUUGUACUUUCUCUCUUUAAAUUUACAAUUAUUCAUUAUUUGCAUGUUUUAAUAUUAUCGUCAUUUUAAAAUAUCUAUACCAUAAAAGUUGGAACACAUAUAAAUCAUGUGUCUAGAAACUAGUAACUAAAGAAAAAGAGGUGAAUGCUUAUUCUAUUCGAUUUUCUACAAAUUUAUUUUUUAAAAGUAAUAUUAGAUCUUCAAUAAACUUAUGAAUAGAGAAGCAAAUCUUCAAUUAAUUUAAGAAAAACAAAGAAAUAAAUCAUAACAAAGUGAAUAGGUCAAGAUUAAUGCGAGGAAUGUAACGGAAGGAUUCAUACCUUUGCAAGCUGAACAAAAAGCAUCAGCUCCUCCGACAAUGAAGAGGAUUUAUCACCCACAACAGAAGAAGACAGAGACCAGAGUUUAGAAGAGAAAAUGAACACAUCCUUAAUGAUGGGGAGAAAGAGAUGGUUAAGAGGAGAGGACAGAGGAGCGCAUUAAGAGACCCUAUCUUUUAG